rnacentral:lncRNA from 1 species
CUCAGACUUCCACCACAGUGUUUUUGAAGUGUGGGUCCAUUGCCCAGGUUUUGAAGAUAACUUAAGACUUGUGAGAAAGACAGCAGCAAGUGAAAUUGAAUCCUGCAUCCCCUGGUUUGCAAUAGAUCAAGAGGAAGACAGCCUUAAACAAAACAUAGUCAAACAGCAGACUUGCUGUCAACUCCAGCACGUUACUAAGCUCUGAGGGCUCAGG